CAGCGCCGUGAAGAUAGGUUCCUAAGCCCGGAGGACACAAGCCAGAUGGGAAGGUGGUGCUACCAGCCUGGCCUCGCUCCUUCAGGACACAGAGGCUGCGACCCAGGAGGCCCUGGCAGAGUUGAGAAAACCAGCAUUGGGGCAGGGGCCUUGAAGAUCAUCUGGUUCCCGCCUCCAAGCCGAUAGGUGGGGAAGCUGAGGUCUGGAGAGGAGCAGGGACUUGCCCAAAGCACACAGAGAGCCACUCCUGGAAGCUCUUCUGGGCUUGGAUGCUGCCUGAGACGCACACUGAUGACAGCUUGGGAAAAGGAGGGCCACGUCCUAGUUGAGGAGCGUGCCUCUGAGAGAGUGUGCUGUGGCAUCCAUGGCAGCACGUGGGAUCUUAGUCCCCCAACCAGGGAUUGAAGGCGUACCCCCUGCAGUGGGAGUGUGGAGUCUUAACCACUGGACCGCCUGGCAAGUCCCUCUCUGCCCCAUUUGAUAGCCUCUCUGGGACAAGGCUUGAAUCAGCCAGAAGGCCAGGCAGCAGCACUGUUCCUGAGGAGAAACUAAGAGCAACACAAACAUCCAGUAACAGGAGAAUUGAGAAAUCAACCACAGCUCCCACAGCAGCAGGGAGCCGAGUGUGUGGGUGCGCCUGCCUCUCUGCCCCAGAAGAGCAUGGCCUCAGCCCCAGGUCGCCCAGGGCCUCUACGCCCCACCACGUGGUGUCUGUGUGCACGAGGGCCCAUCUGCCCAUCUGUUUCCCUUCCCUCUGCUGUGGGCUCUGCUUCCCCGUGGUCCAAACAACAAGAUCCAGCCCAGAAACAGCAUAUGUUUCCAGCCUCUGCUAGUCCAAGUCAUAAAUCGCCUGGUGUGAUGUGCUCCUUGUGUCAGCUUGUUUCAAAACUCAGGGUGGAGGUGGCUGAAUGAGUGUGAGGAGAAUGCAGGGCCUCCUCCAGGCUGAGAAGCUG